ACCCUUUUUUCGGUUCAUGAGCAUGAUGAUAUGGUGUUCAUGCUGUUGCCUGACAUGUGCCUCCCUCAAACCUGUUAUGAUGUUGACACAUUAUCCUAAAUAAAU